CCAAGUGAUGAGACCUUUUGUACAGUUCUGCUGCUGAUGUUGAGCGAUGACAACGGGUAAUCUGAAAC
rnacentral:snoRNA from 1 species